UUGGCUAUUAGGCAAUGUGGUGUUCAGGUCGUUCCGCAGAGGUUCUGCUCCACCCUAAGUCCAGCAAUGAGUACGGUAGUACGGACAUGGCCCACAGAGGGUGAAAGGCCCGUGGGGGUGGAGAUUCGGCAGGACAGAGCCUCUCUGGGUAGACCUUGGAGUCGGGUUGUUUGAGAAUGCAGCCCAAAGUGGGUGGUAAACUCCAUCCAAGGCUAAAUACUAGCACGAGUCCGAUAGCGAACAAGUACCGUGAGGGAAAGUUGAAAAGUACUUUGAAGAUAGAGUAAACAGUGCGUGAAACCGCUCAGAGGUAAACGGGUGGAGUUGAACUGCAAGCUCUGAGAAUUCAGCUGGUGAGUGUGGUUUGAGCUUGGUCAAAUUGGUGAAUUCCGAGGUCUGUGUAGUAGCAGGUCCUUCACCUUCGGGUGGGGAUGCGCGGUGCACUUGUCAAGUGUUGCGCGUCUCGGUUUUUCGGCCAGCUCGUCAGUGCACUUUCUCAGAGUAUUCACCACGACCGGCACCGCUGUCUGGCUGCUUUGGUUAAACCGGUCUUGCUUUGUCCUUGUGGCUUUGCUUGAUCGGGAUGGCAGGUAGCUCGUUGACUUGCUUGUGGCUUGCUGCAGGCGUUCGGUUUUCGAGUGUAAUCAGCUGACCUUAGUGGUUCUGUGCAGUGUGUCGGAGACGGCGGCUUGUAGUGUGUGCACGCGUCUCUGUCUGCUGACUUGUCCGGGUUUGGUUGUUAUGUAGCCUGGUAACCCAGGCCUGAUAAUGGCUCGGAUUCGUUCGGUGGGCAGUUGCGUGUGUGGCACUUUUGCAGGGCCAAUAGUCUGUGGUGUAGUGGUAGACUUUCCACCUGACCCGUCUUGAAACACGGACCAAGGAGAGUAACAUGUACGCGAGUCAUUGGGCGUGACGGAAACCCAAAGGCGCAGUGAAAGUAAAUGUCUGACUCGUUCAGACUGAGGUGAGAUCCUGUCGUUUCUCAUGCGCGGUACUUCCAAGCUCCGAGCGGCAGGCGCAUCACCGGCCCGUCCCAUGACAUUUGUUUUCGAGCUUUCCGGUCGGGGCGGAGCAUGAGCGUACAUGUUGAGACCCGAAAGAUGGUGAACUAUGCUUGCGCAGGUUGAAGCCAGAGGAAACUCUGGUGGAGGACCGCAGCGAUUCUGACGUGCAAA
rnacentral:rRNA from 1 species